AAUUUUUUUCUGUUUGUCUUCAAGUAAUGUGUUCUUACAGAAAGGAUUUCGGCACAAAGAGAAAAGUGAUCCAGAUAUCACAGCCUGAUGCUGUCUCUUCUGACAGGAAGUUUUUUCGCUAAGGAGGCAGACUUCGAAGACAGCAAUUUCUCAUCAACAACUGCAAGCUGCUGUGAUUGCACUUAAGAGAGUCAAGUUGGAUGUAAGCCAUAAUCCCAGAGGUGGAAAACCAAAGCUUUACACAUGAAAUCUGUUGUCAUCUUUGUCCCAGUGCAGUGGAUGAAAGGACACAAACCAGAAUCACUUUUGAACCAGACAACUGUAAAAGGGCUUCACUAAAGACAGGCAGAAGCCUGUUUGGUGGGUGAAUUGCACUUCCGACACCUGUCAAUA
ensembl:lncRNA